GAUGAACGCUGGCGGCGUGCCUAAUACAUGCAAGUCGAGCGAACAGACGAGGAGCUUGCUCCUCUGACGUUAGCGGCGGACGGGUGAGUAACACGUGGGUAACCUACCUAUAAGACUGGGAUCACUUCGGGUAACCGGAGCUAAUACCGGAUAAUAUAUUGAACCGCAUGGCUCAAUAGUGAAAGCCGGUUUUGCUGUCACUUAUAGAUGGAUCCGCGCCGCAUUAGCUAGUUGGUAAGGUAACGGCUUACCAAGGCAACGAUGCGUAGCCGACCUGAGAGGGUGAUCGGCCACACUGGAACUGAGACACGGUCCAGACUCCUACGGGAGGCAGCAGUAGGGAAUCUUCCGCAAUGGGCGAAAGCCUGACGGAGCAACGCCGCGUGAGUGAUGAAGGUCUUCGGAUCGUAAAACUCUGUUAUUAGGGAAGAACAAAUGUGUAAGUAACUAUGCACGUCUUGACGGUACCUAAUCAGAAAGCCACGGCUAACUACGUG
rnacentral:rRNA from 1 species